GCCUGAUUAGCAUAGUGGCUAAUGCGUUGCACUUGUAUCCCGUGCCCCAUCCCUUGGGUCGUCGACGACAUGCAAAGAUCACAGGUUCGAUUCCUGUAUCAGGCA